rnacentral:rRNA from 1 species
UAGGGAAUCUUCGGCAAUGGACGAAAGUCUGACCGAGCAACGCCGCGUGAGUGAAGAAGGUUUUCGGAUCGUAAAACUCUGUUGUUAGAAAGAACAAGGACGUUAGUAACUGAACGUCCCCUGACGGUAUCUAACCAGAAAGCCACGGCUAACUACGUGUCAGCAGCCGCGGUAAUACGUAGGUGGCAAGCGUUGUCCGGAUUUAUUGGGCGUAAAGCGAGCGCCGGCGGUUUCUUACGUCUGAUGUGAAAGCCCCCGGCUCAACCGGGGAGGGUCAUUGGAAACUGGUAGAGUUGAGUGCAGAAGAGGAGAGUGGAAUUCCAUGUGUAGCGGUGAAAUGCGUAGAUAUAUGGAGGAACACCAGUGGCGAAGGCGGCUCUCUGGUCUGUAACUGACGCUGAGGCUCGAAAGCGUGGGGAGCAAACAGG